GGGAGCACUCUUGCCUGGGAGCUCCUGGCUAUCCCGCCUCCUGUUGUCACCGAAACCUGAUCGCCUCACCAGAUCGCCUUUUAGCUGGAUCGUGCAGCUCGCCGUUGUUUGGCAGUUCAUUGGCCGGGUCUUCCCUCUCCCGUAUCGACCCCAGUUGUAGGGCGUGCGAGUGUUUCCUCCUCUACCUGUUGCAGCGGGGAGCGAUCAGCUGAUUGAUCGAGUUGCACUUGUAAUUGUGCUGCUCGGUACAAGUGAUCCCCUUCCUCCCCUUUGAUGUUCAUUCAACUCCUGACGGGUUGACGUGUGUGUGUGGGCGGUUUCUGCCAGCACGUCCCCCCCCUCUUCACGCUGCUGUUGGCCGGC
ensembl:lncRNA